rnacentral:rRNA from 1 species
GUGCCAGCCGCCGCGGUAAUACGUAGGGACCGAGCGUUGUCCGGAAUCAUUGGGCGUAAAGCGCGCGUAGGUGGCUCUGUAAGUCCGUUGUGAAAGUCAAAGGCUCAACCUUUGAAAGCCGAUGGAUACUGCAGGGCUAGAGUCCGGAAGAGGCGAGUGGAAUUCCUGGUGUAGCGGUGGAAUGCGCAGAUAUCAGGAGGAACACCGAUAGCGAAGGCAGCUCGCUGGGACGGUACUGAAGAUGAGGUGCGAAAGCGUGGGGAGCGAACAGGAUUAGAAACCCUCGUAGUCC